UCCGCUGCUCGCCCCGUCGCCCGUCCUCUGCUCCCCUGCUGCCCUGCUCCGCCGCUCGCGCAGCCCAGCUCACCGCCUCGCCCGCUCUGCUGGUUCCUGCUCUCCGCCACGCGCAGCCCAGCUCGCCGCCUCGCCCGCUCUGCCAGCUCCUGCUCUCUGCUGCCCAGGAUUGGUAAGUGGCUGACCAUCAGAUGCUAUAACUUGUUUUCUGAAUAUUUUUGAUCUGCUAGACUGCUAUAAUGUUGGGAUUUGCUACCACAAUACCGCUUAUGGUCCAUUGCUGCUGUCGAACAUUUAAUUUCACUUGAUCAAGACACUGAUGUUGGCUUUUCAUUUGUCUAAGGUGUUGGCUCUUCUUCCACCGUUGAUUAAGUUAUGGAAGACACUGAUGAAGCAAGCCAUUGAUUUGGUAUUCUUUUUACUGCACGUAUUGUUCGUAGCUUUUGUCAUCUUUUUUAUCAAUUUUGUUGUGUCUCUAAGCAUUGAGUUUAAAUUCUAAAUUUUUGGUGCAAUUGAGUCAUAUUUGAGGUAGCUAUAGCUAGCUUGAUGGAUGUUAAGUUUUUCUCUCGCGCCGAAAUUUUUUUUUGGCCCGGGGCUUGCUUCAAUCCUGGAUCCGCCACUGCAUUGGUGCACUUCCCAUAGGAAACUUCUGCAGCUCCAAGGUUCUUUGGAGCAAACGGACACCAUGUUUCUGAUGAUUAGACAUCUUUUUUUUUUGCUGCAGCCUGCAGGUAUAACAUUUUCUGUAUUAGAGAACUUGGGAUUCGUUUGCUCUAUUUCAGUGAGUCAAUAAUCAAUUAGAGCAAGUGAAAUUUUCUAAAGCUUCUCAGCAGAAGGUGUCAAAAUAAUGCAUGUUGUUGAUACUAUAUCAAAAAAAUUGUCAUACUCAUACAGCUGUGUGCAUACGCCAUAAGAACGACAUGCAUACAAACUGAAAAGCCGAUGGCACCCACCCAGUAUAUGAAUAUAAUCCCGGUUCUGACAUCCAAACAAGCUCAUACCACAAACAAAAUCAGCACGAAUUUCAACCUUGAAACAUCUACAUCCAGGAUUAAAAGUAUUGGCUAUUAUGGCGUAUGUACAAGCAUGAUAAUAUCCUACCACCUUAAAACAUUUACAUCCAGUACAUGAAUGUAAUCCCGCUUCUGACAUUCAAACAAGCUCAUGCCACAAACAAAAUCAGCAAGCGCAGCUACAUUUUACACAUUAAGAAAAAAAUGCUGAUGCACU
rnacentral:lncRNA from 1 species